GCGAUUAAUACUAGGAACCUUGUGUUAUUUUUACCGGGUUUAGUAUUAAUCAUAUUUUGGCCAUAUAGCAUAUGUGUAACCCACAAUGCUAGGCAUGUUUGAGGUGGAAUGUGUUGAUUGUGUGGUGAUUAAUAUUAGGAACCUUGUGUUAUUUUACCGGGUUUAGUAUUAAUCGUAUAUUGGCCGAUAGCAUUUGUGUAAUCCACAAUGCUAGGCAUAUUGGGGUGAGUUAGUGUUCCUUCAGACCUCGUACCCGGCGGGUUCAAGGAAACCCCUUAUUCGCUGGACCGGGAAGACUCAGAUAGACGGGGUCAUGGCCUAUGGCUGAGUGAUUACACGACGGUGUAAUGUGGCAGUGACCCGAAGGACUGUGGGCUGUCGCGCGAUGACCCGAAGGACUGUGGGCUGC
rnacentral:lncRNA from 1 species